rnacentral:rRNA from 1 species
GUGGGGAAUAUUGGACAAUGGGCGCAAGCCUGAUCCAGCCAUGCCGCGUGUGUGAAGAAGGCCUUUUGGUUGUAAAGCACUUUAAGCGAGGAGGAGGCUACUUGGAUUAAUACUCUAGGAUAGUGGACGUUACUCGCAGAAUAAGCACCGGCUAACUCUGUGCCAGCAGCCGCGGUAAUACAGAGGGUGCGAGCGUUAAUCGGAUUUACUGGGCGUAAAGCGUGCGUAGGCGGCUUUUUAAGUCGGAUGUGAAAUCCCUGAGCUUAACUUAGGAAUUGCAUUCGAUACUGGGAAGCUAGAGUAUGGGAGAGGAUGGUAGAAUUCCAGGUGUAGCGGUGAAAUGCGUAGAGAUCUGGAGGAAUACCGAUGGCGAAGGCAGCCAUCUGGCCUAAUACUGACGCUGAGGUACGAAAGCAUGGGGAGCAAACAGGAUUAGAUACCCUUGUAGUCC